GAUGAACGCUGGCGGCGUGCCUAAUACAUGCAAGUCGAGCGAACGGACGAGAAGCUUGCUUCUCUGAUGUUAGCGGCGGACGGGUGAGUAACACGUGGAUAACCUACCUAUAAGACUGGGAUAACUUCGGGAAACCGGAGCUAAUACCGGAUAAUAUUUUGAACCGCAUGGUUCAAAAGUGAAAGACGGUCUUGCUGUCACUUAUAGAUGGAUCCGCGCUGCAUUAGCUAGUUGGUAAGGUAACGGCUUACCAAGGCAACGAUGCAUAGCCGACCUGAGAGGGUGAUCGGCCACACUGGAACUGAGACACGGUCCAGACUCCUACGGGAGGCAGCAGUAGGGAAUCUUCCGCAAUGGGCGAAAGCCUGACGGAGCAACGCCGCGUGAGUGAUGAAGGUCUUCGGAUCGUAAAACUCUGUUAUUAGGGAAGAACAUAUGUGUAAGUAACUGUGCACAUCUUGACGGUACCUAAUCAGAAAGCCACGGCUAACUACGUGCCAGCAGCCGCGGUAAUACGUAGGUGGCGAGCGUUAUCCGGAAUUAUUGGGCGUAAAGCGCGCGUAGGCGGUUUUUUAAGUCUGAUGUGAAAGCCCACGGCUCAACCGUGGAGGGUCAUUGGAAACUGGAAAACUUGAGUGCAGAAGAGGAAAGUGGAAUUCCAUGUGUAGCGGUGAAAUGCGCAGAGAUAUGGAGGAACACCAGUGGCGAAGGCGACUUUCUGGUCUGUAACUGACGCUGAUGUGCGAAAGCGUGGGGAUCAAACAGGAUUAGAUACCCUGGUAGUCCACGCCGUAAACGAUGAGUGCUAAGUGUUAGGGGGUUUCCGCCCCUUAGUGCUGCAGCUAACGCAUUAAGCACUCCGCCUGGGGAGUACGACCGCAAGGUUGAAACUCAAAGGAAUUGACGGGGACCCGCACAAGCGGUGGAGCAUGUGGUUUAAUUCGAAGCAACGCGAAGAACCUUACCAAAUCUUGACAUCCUUUGACAACUCUAGAGAUAGAGCCUUCCCCUUCGGGGGACAAAGUGACAGGUGGUGCAUGGUUGUCGUCAGCUCGUGUCGUGAGAUGUUGGGUUAAGUCCCGCAACGAGCGCAACCCUUAAGCUUAGUUGCCAUCAUUAAGUUGGGCACUCUAAGUUGACUGCCGGUGACAAACCGGAGGAAGGUGGGGAUGACGUCAAAUCAUCAUGCCCCUUAUGAUUUGGGCUACACACGUGCUACAAUGGACAAUACAAAGGGCAGCGAAACCGCGAGGUCAAGCAAAUCCCAUAAAGUUGUUCUCAGUUCGGAUUGUAGUCUGCAACUCGACUACAUGAAGCUGGAAUCGCUAGUAAUCGUAGAUCAGCAUGCUACGGUGAAUACGUUCCCGGGUCU
rnacentral:rRNA from 1 species